CUCAAAACAACCAUCAGCUGAAAACCUUUGGAAGUGGGUUCCAACUCGCCCUGCAGUUCAUUAUAAGCAACGGCUCCUGUGUGGUCAAUGUCUCCAGCAAUGAGGACUGUACAGCACUGUCUCACUGUCGAAAACAUUCAGAGACGAUCUGCACAGCAGCUCUGUAACUACAGCUUCACUCAUCCAUGGCUGUAUAAUAAUCCUCGCACUUAGCCAGGGCUGUAUAAUAGGAUACCCACUAAAAGCUGUGAUCAGAGCCCCAUCAUAUGAUAAAAAUGUCCUGUUUGUAGUCUUUUCCUGGUGUCCUUUACAUCGGAUCUUCCUCUGGUCACAAUCUGUGUUCACUGUGUUCUCUCUCACGUCUCUGCUGGUGAAUUGUUUAAUGUCUG